rnacentral:misc_RNA from 1 species
GUUAGGGGUAUCAGUUAUGGCUAGGUCAACACAUCUUAAAAAAUAAUUCGUCAGCUUCUUUUUGAAAUCAAGGAAAGCCUGUAAUGGUUUGACAUUCAUUUCAUAACAGCGAGCUUGGACACUUUUGUUUCGUUUUCCCAUGACAAUAAAUUGAGAUUUUGGUUUGGAUAAAGGGUUCAAAAGUUUAGAGUGCCUAAUUCAAAUCUCCCAAGAAUUGAUUUUUUUAGACUCUCUGACCAAACUAAACUGAUUACUUUCUAAUCAAAUUCAGGAAUCAGACUUAUAUGCCCAAUAAGUUGAACUGGUAUUAACUUUGGAACACUUCAUAAAGUAAACCCAAGAGAAUGCUCCAAUUUAAUGCACUACCAAUACAACUAACAUACAACUACAUAAUAUA